rfam:Bifidobacterium bifidum BGN4, complete genome.
UGCGGCGGCCAUGGCCCAGGAGAGACGCCCGGUCCCAUUCCGAACCCGGAAGCUAAGGCCUGGCACGGCGAUGGUACUGCACCCGACAGGGUGUGGGAGAGUAGCACGCCGCCGCAC